AAUUCGAUGCAACGCGAAGAACCUUUACCAAGGCUUGACAUGUCACGAAUCCUAUUGAAAGAUGGGAGUGCCUUCGGGAGCGUGAACACAGGUGGUGCAUGGCUGUCGUCAGCUCGCGUCGUGAGAUGUUGGGUUAAGUCCCGCAACGAGCGCAACCCUCGUUUUUAGUUGCCAGCAUUAAGAUGGGCACUCUAGAGAGACUGCCGGUGACAAACCGGAGGAAGGUGGGGAUGACGUCAAGUCAGCAUGCCCCUUACGUCUUGGGCUACACACGUACUACAAUGCUCCGGACAAAGGGCAGCUACACAGCGAUGUGAUGCGAAUCUCAUAAACCGGAGCUCAGUUCAGAUCGAAGGCUGCAACUCGCCUUCGUGAAGGAGGAAUCGCUAGUAAUUGCAGGUCAGCAUACUGCAGUGAAUUCGUUCCCGGGCCUUGUACACACCGCCCGUCACACCAUGGAAGUCGGUCACGCCCGAAGUCGUAGCCCCAACCUAUUGGAGGGG
rnacentral:rRNA from 1 species